ACCCCAAAUCACAGAGCCUGCCCCGCCACUUUCUUCAUCCCAAACUCGAAGCAAAUCCGGCAGCCCAGUGAUUGUCCCCGCCUUCCGACGGGGGGGAAAGAGCAUUCAUCGCAAGAUUUUCUAUCCCAUUGUUUUGGCACGCGAAUAAAAUCUCCCACAAGCGAUUUCGGGUCCCGCCUUCACAGCCCCCGGUACCGGUUCACAAGGUUCGUUCGCUUACUUCAUCUGAAAGAAAUAAAUUCCUACCUUCUGAUACAAGAUACCAUGUGUGAUUCUUUGGGUUUUAGGAAUGAAGAUUUUUUGGUUGUAGAUAUAGUUCAAAUUUUCUCGUAUUUCGUGUCAAAGGAGUCGAAGAUUCUUAGGAAAUUAAAAUGUAGUUUCUUGAAUUACAUCGUCGCUCUCUGUCUCCUCAUUUACUUUUCUAAGCUCUCAAUAUUUUCGCUUUUGUAAUGGAGAUAGUAUCUCCAUGUUUAUGAGCUUCUUUGCUAAAUAACUUUUUAUCACAUGCUUAAACAUCAAUGGAGCAAGUGGGUCGAGGCGGCCCUUUUUGUUCCGCUGCCCUAUUGGUGAUUUUUGGGAGGUGGUGUGGGACUAAAAUAUUCGCAUUUUUCGAUUGGUUUACUUAUUUGUUAUAUUCUUUAUUACAGUCAAGAUGGGAACAUAGUCCUCGCCUCCACACCACACUGACAGGAGCAAAGCAUUGAUUGUCAUAGACUUAUUUGAGAACAAUUAGUUUUAGGAAUGAAGAUUGUUGGUUGUAGAUAUAGUUUGAAUUUUCUCAUAUUUCGUGUCAAAGGAGUCGAAUUAUGUUUGAUGCGUGAGUCGUUUAGGAAUGGAGUUGCAUUCAUGGUAGUUUAUUUGUGUCUUCGACAGUUGUUGAUUAGAAUGAGAGCACCGUUAAUGAAGCGGUGAAUCAUAGCCAAACGAAGAAUAUGAAGACUUGCCAAGAAUUUUCAACAGUUUAGCUCGAAUUAUUGAGAAAUGAGACAUCGACAUAUCAUUGCACAUAACAUUUCGCAAAGAAAAAGGAAUUUUUGAAUGUGAUGAGAAAGGAAAGGGACCGACUUGAAUGGGUGAUGUCAAGUAUUUGCUAUAUGCUUUGUUUGUAACGUAGGAACUUACAAAAAUUAGUUUCUUUUCUAACGUAUUAACUUUUUGAAUUUAGUAGGCUUUAAUGUACAAUGUUUAAUUUUGUCAACAUCGUUCGAGCGUUGGACAUAAGUUUAUUAUUUUGCGAAUCAUUGUAAUAUAUUAACGGG
rnacentral:lncRNA from 1 species